rnacentral:SRP_RNA from 1 species
UCGUGCUAGACGGGGAGCUAGCGGUGCCCUGUACCCGAAAUCCGCUUACGCGGGGUCGAACUCCCCCUCAGAGGGCCAGCGCUCCCUGGGAAUGCCAGAACUAAGUGGCGUAGAAGAUUGGGUCCUGCGCGGCAGGAGCUCGUGAACCCCGUCAGGUCCGAGAGGAAGCAGCGGUAAGCGGUCCCUCCUGGGUGCCGCAGGAGUGCCUGGUCGGAGCUGGCUGGUUCUGGUAAGCCAGCGGGUCCGGUUCGAAAGGGGGUGCACGG